AGAGUUUGAUCAUGGCUCAGGAUGAACGCUGGCGGCGUGCUUAAUACAUGCAAGUCGAACGGAGAUAAUAGCAAUAUUAUCUUAGUGGCGAACGGGUGAGUAACGCGUUGGUGACCUGCCCCGAAGAGAGGGAUAGCAGUUCGAAAGGACUGAUAAUACCUCAUGUGGUUGAGGGUUUUAGAAUCCCUUAACUAAACGGAUUUAUUCGCUUCGGGAGGGGCCUGCGUCCCAUCAGCUAGUUGGUAGGGUAAUGGCCUACCAAGGCGAUGACGGGUAGGGGACCUGAGAGGGUGGCCCCCCACAAUGGAACUGAAACACGGUCCAUACACCUACGGGUGGCAGCAGUAGGGAAUAUUGGUAAUGUGCGAAAGCGCGAACCAGCAACGCCGCGUGAGCGAUGAAGGCCUUCGGGUUGUAAAGCUCUUUUAGAGAGGAUGAGGAAGGACAGUACUUUCUGAAUAAGCCUCGGCUAACUACGUGCCAGCAGCCGCGGUAAAACGUAGGAGGCUAGCGUUAUCCGGAUUUACUGGGCGUAAAGCGCGUGCAGGUGGUCUUGUAAGUUGGAUGUGAAAGCUCCUGGCUUAACUGGGAGAGGUCGUUCAAAACUGCGAGACUUGAGAUUGGUAGAGGGAGGUGGAAUUCCGGGUGUAGUGGUGAAAUGCGUAGAUAUCCGGAGGAACACCAGUGGCGAAAGCGGCCUCCUGGACCAAUUCUGACACUCAGACGCGAAAGCUAAGGUAGCAAACGGGAUUAGAGACCCCGGUAGUCUUAGCUGUAAACUAUGUGAACUUGGCGUCGGUGGGUUUAAAUCCAUCGGUGCCGUAGCAAACGCGAUAAGUUCACCGCCUGGGGACUACGGCCGCAAGGUUAAAACUCAAAGGAAUGACGG
rnacentral:rRNA from 1 species